UCUAUAGUUAGUCGGUCUGUAUUUCUUGGUGGCUCAGGUGGCACUGGACAUAUAAAAUUAAGUUAAAUAUCUCUAAAACUGAAAUGGGAAUUAUGGAUCAUCAUGACUUGUCUAACUGCGAGACAAUCCGAUGAUGAAACCUAUCACUUACCAUCAAUAUCAGGUAGACCUUCCGGAUGAAGCCCUUCCGGAUGCUCUGGUCAUCGAAUGCGAAGCUCUUGUCCGCCUCCGCAUCUGUAUAUGUGCCAGUUUCAUCGCCUGCGGGGUUGGAAGACAAUUCAAGGAAAAAGGAAAGUUAAUAUGAUGACUAACCGUACUGAAAGUGGUUGUCGCUGCUCAUGGCUAAAUCGCUAUGACUAAAGUAAUGGUACUCUCUCUGCUCGACUGCCGGCAACGUGCCAGUAUUUCAGCUUAUUGAAACCGAAUCGCCCUUCUAUGUGUCCCCAUAUGGCCGACAACUGAAGAUUAGCCGGUACCUAACUCUUAUCAAAGUCAUACACUCACACUCCAGAUAAGAUUCAACACUGAUGUGGGUGAAUCACAGUAUUGAGCCAUAUACAUAAACCUUUUUUGCUGUCUUAUCAGAUGAAAGUGCCUCGAGAGAUAUUUUGCUAGCCUUUUUCAGAGAGAAAUCAGUGCAGUUGGGCCCAUUUCGUUCGGUUUAGCCCAAUCCGGGUGGUACUUGCCUUGCUGGUAGUGAUACAUUUUAUGGCUACGCCUUGCUGGAAUUCACACGAACUACUGAACAGGUGGCCAGGUCAAAAAUAUGCUAUGGGGCCAACCCGAAAAUUAAAACACCCCGCCUUCUAGUUGUGGUGGUGCAGAUAACAACGUAAACUUAAGCAAUGAUAAAGCAGAAGGUAGACGAUAAAGGUCUAGACGAUGGAAGAAAUCCAACCACCGGCGAUGCUCUCCCGUUGCACACUAAAGCUGCAUCUGGUGGUAGCUGGCUGGUUGAACUGGAUGAACCACUCGCGGAAGCCCCACAAUGCUGGGGUCUGUGGCGGCUUUAAUAAAUAGAUGCGCUUUAUUGUUGACUUUAAACUCAGUGUCGCUGCACGGUUUACAAUGUUCGGUACUUGAUUCAUAGUUGCAAAAAUCGUUAUUCCUUGGUUAUUACACACCGUUUAAUGUUAUGUUCUAACAACUGCAACCAUGUUGCUUAUAUAUUUUCAAAUAAAUAUGCUUUAUACGUGA